rnacentral:rRNA from 1 species
GGGGAAUAUUGGACAAUGGGGGGAACCCUGAUCCAGCGACGCCGCGUGAGUGACGAAGUAUUUCGGUAUGUAAAGCUCUAUCAGCAGGGAAGAAAGAAAUGACGGUACCUGACUAAGAAGCCCCGGCUAACUACGUGCCAGCAGCCGCGGUAAUACGUAGGGGGCAAGCGUUAUCCGGAUUUACUGGGUGUAAAGGGAGCGUAGACGGCGAUGCAAGUCUGAAGUGAAAGGCGGGGGCCCAACCCCCGGACUGCUUUGGAAACUGUAUGGCUGGAGUGCAGGAGAGGUAAGUGGAAUUCCUAGUGUAGCGGUGAAAUGCGUAGAUAUUAGGAGGAACACCAGUGGCGAAGGCGGCUUACUGGACUGUAACUGACGUUGAGGCUCGAAAGCGUGGGGAGCAAACAGA